rnacentral:tRNA from 1 species
GCGGGCGUAGUUCAGUGGUAGAACGUUAGCUUCCCAAGCUAAAUGUCGAGAGUUCGAAUCUCUUCGCCCGCU